rnacentral:rRNA from 1 species
AACGAACGCUGGCGGCGUGCCUAACACAUGCAAGUCGUACGAGAAAGCUCCCUUCGGGGAGUGAGUAGAGUGGCGCACGGGUGAGUAACGCGUGGGCAAUCUGCCCCCGAGCUCGGAAUAACCCCUCGAAAGGGGGGCUAAUACCGGAUAACACUUCGAUCUCUUCGGAGGUUGAAGUCAAAGGUGGCCUCUGAUUUAAGCUACCACUUGGGGAGGAGCCCGCGUCCCAUUAGCUUGUUGGUGGGGUAAUGGCCUACCAAGGCUACGAUGGGUAGCCGGCCUGAGAGGGUGACCGGCCACACUGGAACUGAGACACGGUCCAGACUCCUACGGGAGGCAGCAGUGGGGAAUUUUGCGCAAUGGGCGAAAGCCUGACGCAGUGACGCCGCGUGGACGAUGAAGGUCUUCGGGUCGUAAAGUCCUGUCAAGUGGGAAGAAGUGCGUGGUGCUUAAUACGUACCAUGUUUGACGGUACCACUAGAGGAAGCCCCGGCCAACUCCGUGCCAGCAGCCGCGGUAAUACGGGGGGGGCGAGCGUUGUUCGGAAUUAUUGGGCGUAAAGGGCGCGUAGGCGGCCGAUCAAGUGGAAGGUGAAAGCCCUCGGCUCAACCGAGGAACUGCCUUCCAAACUGACUGGCUUGAGUCCGGGAGAGGUGAGUGGAAUUCCCAGUGUAGCGGUGAAAUGCGUAGAUAUUGGGAGGAACACCAGUGGCGAAGGCGGCUCACUGGACCGGAACUGACGCUGAGGCGCGAAAGCGUGGGGAGCAAACGGGAUUAGAUACCCCGGUAGUCCACGCCGUAAACGAUGAGUGCUUGGUGUAGCGGG